CCGGGUAACGUCCCGCAGGAUAUCGACAUUCAGCGUUCACUGAAGAGAACCAGACUCAUCACGAGUGAAAAUAACGAUUUGGGACCCACAAAGGAGACUACGCUGAGGUCUGGACAGAGUGGACCAUUUCGACAACUUCUCCUUUGACAAGGAUCAAGAGGCCAAGGAUCAGGUGGUGAGGGCAGAACCAACAGACCAGACAGCUCUCCCACAGCCAGCCUCUGAACCUGCUCUACAGUCUGAAUAGCCCGGGUGAAGUUAAACUCUCCGUUGCUGGUGCACCAGAUGGCUGAGAACAGGAUAGGCUGAUGCCCUGGAAGCUAAGAGGGAAGCGCCAAAGGAGUUCGCAGGCAAGACUGCUGAUUGCAGAGGAGCUGAAACCCACAGAGGACAUGGGUCUCAAUGAACACAAGGACAAGGCCUGGUGAGAGCCACUACAGAGGAUCAUAGCCAUCGUUGGAAUUCUGGAAGGACGUGGGUGAAUAUCAAUCUGCCAAAUGAACUUUUUUAGCAUGCAUAUUAAUUCUGAUAUGAUACUAUAUAUGACCUUGUUUGUUUGUUACUGGAAAGAAAUUAGCUUCUAUUGUUUUUGACUUUGAAGGACUUGACUGUGUUUUAAGCCUAUGUGCAUUUUCUAGAUGUUGAGCAUGAACAGAACUUUAAACAAUGAUUUAUUGGGUGA